CCUACGGGAGGCAGCAGUGAGGAAUAUUGGUCAAUGGGCGAGAGCCUGAACCAGCCAAGUCGCGUGAGGGAGUACUGCCCUAUGGGUUGUAAACCUCUUUUGUCGGGGAGCAAAAGCCGGACGUGUCCGGCUGUGAGAGUACCCGAAGAAAAAGCAUCGGCUAACUCCGUGCCAGCAGCCGCGGUAAUACGGAGGAUGCGAGCGUUAUCCGGAUUUAUUGGGUUAAAAGGGUGCGCAGGCGGAUUUUUAAGUCAGCGGUAAAAUCGUGGGGCUCAACCCCAUCCAGCCGUUGAAACUGGGGAUCUAGAGUGUGCGAGAGGUAUGCGGAAUGCGUGGUGUAGCGGUGAAAUGCAUAGAUAUCACGCAGAACCCCGAUUGCGAAGGCAGCAUACCGGUGCACAACUGACGCUCAGGCACGAAAGCGUGGGUAUCGAACAGGAUUAGAUACCCUGGUAGUC
rnacentral:rRNA from 1 species